rnacentral:misc_RNA from 1 species
CGUGGCCUGGCCCGUGUUCUGCGCGACGAACUGAACGGACGUGCUAGACCAUCCACUGCUGUGCACCUCGGUUGACCUAUUCGCAGAGCUUCCCUGGGUCCUCACGCACCGGCGCACACCCCCACCCCACACGCUUGUGGUACUGGCCGAACUCUGCGUACACCGGCUUCCACGCUGAUGAGCUGGCCGUGACUUCCUCAACAAAGGAAAUCGAUAGUUACCGACUACCAGAGAGAGAGGCGGCAGCUAUCAAGCGCAUGCCUGUCCACCCGAACAGCUGCACCGCAUGACGAAAGCGACGCUUGAACGCCCACCCUCGCGUCUCCCUUUUCCUCGCUGACACAAACAGACACACAUAACGCCCCAUUAUUGCAUACCCCUGUGCUCGUUGUUGCCUUCUCGUUGCUUGUUUUUCUUUCUUCCUUGAUAGGUGCACUGCCACGCCGUUCCUUUUUUUUUUCGCGUGGCGCUUGUGCCCUGCAGCGUGUUGUCUGCUUCCUUUUCUUUCGCCCUUGCUUCUCCUUCGCCUUGCUGACCUUCCCGCUUCAUGUCUGUACUCUUUUUAAAGGAGGCUCUCCGGCCCAGAUCCUGUGUUGCCCUUUUCAAUCAUGUCGUUCAUCAGCUACGUGCAGUCGCUGUGGGGCCCCUUCACGGCAUCCUCCGACCGCACUUUGAGAGGCGGCAGCGGCGCGUCGUCGCAGCAGUUGGGCAGCGGGGUAUGGCCUCUCUCCGCUCAGGUGCGGGAGGAAAUGAAGAGGGGGACGCGCUACAACAUGAAGGUUGUGCUGCGCGGCACCCGUGCGACUGGCAAGAGCACUUUGAUGGCGCGCCUAAGCGGCCACCCGCUGCCGGCGCGGUACACCCCGUCUACCGAGAUCAUCGCUUCGACGAUGCGGCUGCAAGGGGAGCUUUGCGCCCCACACGAGGGCACGAAGGUGGACAUCUGGGAGGUCGUCGAGGAGGGUCGCCAGCGAUCCACCUCGUCCUCGUCGGCGAACACCGGCGCAGCCAUGGCCGGUCAUAUCCCAACAGUCCAGCUUCACGAGGCUCUGCGCGUGGCGGCAGAUGCGCGGUUGCUCGAUAUGUACGCUGGGUGUCAACUCGUCAUCUUCAUGAUCGACCCUCGUCAGCGCAGCUCAUGGGAGUACGCGAAGCAGGAAACGCUGCACGUGCCCCCCACGAGCUGCAUCCUGUACGCCCUGAACUUCUCCGAUGUGGAGCCGCUCACCGGCGCUAGCGGGGUCGUCCGACUGGAUGAGGUGCAGGCGUGGUGUAACCGCGUGCGUCGAGCAACCACGGGGCUCGUGCACCGCGUGCUAGAGGGCCGCCAGGCUCCAGCUGAGUUCUCGGUGCGUCCCAUGACUGCGAUGCUGAGCGCUCAGACAGGAGCAGGAAUGCUGGGCGUGGUGCGAGCUCUGCACGUGGCCAGCACGCUGGUCCGCAUCACAGCGGAGGAGGUGCGAGCUCAGCAACUCUUCGCACUCCUAGCGCGUCAACAGGCCGCACCUAUUGCUGGUUUCGAUUCAACACGUACCCCACCAACCGGCACAGCAUCAGCUGGGGGCGCCCGUGCCGACCAAGCACCAGCGUCAGGGAAGCCGCCGCCUGCUGAGGCGCUGAGAGCUGGACCGCACACCCCAGCGUCAGCGCCGCCUCUGUCUCUGAACGCUUCUGCAGGAUCUUCGUUGAAGACAGCAGCGCACACUUCAAUGAGAGAUACUGCGCAGGCUUCAGAUCACCCCUCUGUCGCGAUCACUGAGGUGCAGGCCAGCACGACGCCAGCGUUGGAGUCGGACUCUGGAGGCCUUCGAAUGCAGCACCGCUCCAGCGCUGUCGUGACCACCGUUAGUAAUGGAACCAGCUGCGUGAACGGGGGCGGGAACGGCACGCAUCCGCAACAUACUUCGCUCACCCGUCCGAUGAGUGACGCGGAGGCCAUGAGGCUGUUUCUGGGCAAUAUCGACUGCGACGCGUCGGGCCAAUCGUCGCCUCGCUCGUCCUCAUCCUCCUCUGCCUCGGGUGCGGCGAGUAGUCGUGCCUGGGUGGCGGCGAAACGUCCCCCUGUCGAGCAUCACUUCGACGCCGCGACUGCACAGCUGCCAACCCUGAAUCGAACACCUGAAGGGCUGGCACAAGACGACUCUGCUGUUGCUAAUGCCAACGCAGGCGUCUCUGGCUUGACGCCCCCAUCGCUGUCGGAGGAGCUGCCAUCUCCGCUGCCCGCUCCUCAGGUUGUGCGACCGCUGGCAGAGGACGUGGUUGGCUCCUUGGCUGCUGAUAUGGUGCACGAUGCCAGUGUGUCCGUGGACGACUUCUUCGCCGAGGAGGGAGAGAAAGACGAAUUGGAUGGCGCGGCGCCAGAGGUCGAUCCUGCGACACCGACCUCUGCUGCCCAUCAGUCCGUGGACCCUGGCUCACGCACUGCCCGCACCUUGAGAACGCAGCGCGUGGUUCCGAGGGCAAGCAUUCCCGCCUCUGCUCAGGCCGCUGCGCCAGACCCUGUUUUACAGGCCGACGUGUCCAUUAUCCUCGCGCAGAUGAAGGCUGCGCUCACGACAGAUGUGCCUAUCGCCACUGCGGGCAGUGGUCCCGACGAUGCAGUGGUGCGACGCGCUACUGAGCUUGAUUCCGCACAGCAGGAAAUGCGGCUGACACAGAGAGCGAAAAAGUCACGGCACUUGGCAACCGGCGAUUCUGAGGCUCGUGGGAACCGUCGUCACCACCGAAAGAAGCACCGUGAUGCGGCGGACGGGAACGCGGUGGCCGCCGUGGCUGAGGAGCCGGGGGAGGUGGACAAUGGAAGUUUCGACUUAGUUCUGGUGUAGCGAUGCGGUGGCUGUGAUGGAAGUGAUUUCAGCACGGUGAGGAAGGUGAAGGGGGGAGGGGAAGCGAGGGAUUGACUGCGCCGACGACGUCGGUGGUGACUCUCUCGCCCGAGCCUCUCGCACAUCCUCUCUGCACGCUUCUUCACUUUAUUUUUUUGUCGACUGUCCCCCGCUGCCUUCCUCCCUCGUCUCGAUCUAUUCGCAGAGGCCGAAUGGAGAUGAGGUCCUGGAGAGGAAGGAGCCCAACAUGU